GAACGAUGAACCCAACACCGCCUUGAGA
rnacentral:sRNA from 1 species